rnacentral:rRNA from 1 species
UACAGAGGGUGCGAGCGUUGUCCGGAAUCACUGGGCGUAAAGGGCGCGUAGGUGGCGGGAUAAGCGUGUGGUGAAAGCCCGGGGCUCAACCCCGUGUCUGCCAUGCGGACUGUCUUGCUCGAGCGUAGUAGAGGCAGGUGGAAUUCCGGGUGUAGCGGUGGAAUGCGUAGAGAUCCGGAAGAACACCGGUGGCGAAGGCGGCCUGCUGGGCUACUGCUGACACUGAGGCGCGAAAGCGUGGGGAGCAAACAGG